GAUGAACGCUGGCGGCGUGCCUAAUACAUGCAAGUCGAGCGGACAGACGAGGAGCUUGCUCCUCUGACGUGAGCGGCGGACGGGUGAGUAACACGUGGAUCACCUACCUAUAAGACUGGGAUAACUUCGGGACACCGGCGCUAAUACCGGAUAAUAUAUUGAACCGCAUGGUUCAAUGGUGAAAGUCGGUUUUGCUGUCACUUAUAGCUGGAUCCGCGCCGCAUUAGCUAGUUGGUAAGGUAACGGCUUAUCAAGGCGACGAUGCGUAGCCGACCGGAGAGGCGGGUCGGCCACACUGGAACUGAGACACGGUCCAGACUCCUACGGGAGGCAGCAGUAGGGAAUCUUCCGCAAUGGGCGAAAGCAUGACGGAGCAACGCCGCGUGAGUGAUGAAGGUCUUCGGAGCGUAAAACCCUGUUAUGAGGGAAGAACAAAUGUGUAAGUAACUAUGCCCGUCUUGACGGUAACUAAUAAGAAAGCCACGGCUAACUACGUG
rnacentral:rRNA from 1 species